rnacentral:rRNA from 1 species
UGAGGCUACCGAACGUUGGAAACAGCGGUUAGGAGCUUACACCCACCCGUGUUUACAUACUAUUGUUGCUUUGGCGGGCCGUGGCCUCCACUGCGGGCUCUGCUCGUGUGUGCCCGCCAGAGAACCAAACUCUGAAUGUUAGUGAUGUCUGAGUACUAUCUAAUAGUUAAAACUUUCAACAACGGAUCUCUUGGUUCUGGCAUCGAUGAAGAACGCAGCGAAAUGCGAUAAGUAAUGUGAAUUGCAGAAUUCAGUGAAUCAUCGAAUCUUUGAACGCACAUUGCGCCCUGUGGUAUUCCGCAGGGCAUGCCUGUUCGAGCGUCAUUUAACCACUCACGCCUAGCGUGGUAUUGGGGCACGCGGUCUCCGCGGCCCUCGAAAUUAGUGGCGGCGCCGGUGGGCUCUAAGCGUAGUACAUACUCCCGCUAUAGAGUUCCCCCGGUGGCUCGCCAGAACCCCCAAUUUUUACAGGUUGACCUCGGAUCAGGUAGGGAUACCCGCUGAACUUAAGCAUAUCA